rnacentral:rRNA from 1 species
CGGGACGGGUGAGUAACGCGUGGAUAACCUGCCUCACACAGGGGGACAACAGCCGGAAACGGCUGCUAAUACCGCAUAACACAAGUAAUUCGCAUGAAUAACUUGCCAAAGAUUUUAUCGGUGCGAGAUGGAUCCGCGUCUGAUUAGCCAGUUGGCGGGGUAACGGCCCACCAAGCACGAUCAGUAGCCGCCUGAGAGGGUGACCGGCCACAUUGGGACUGAGACACGGCCCAA